rnacentral:lncRNA from 1 species
CUCUGUGUAUCCAAAUUUCCUCUUAUAAGGACACCAGUCACACUGGAUUAGCGUCCACUCAAAUGACCUCAUUUUAACUUAAUCAUCCUUAAAGGCCUUACCUCCAAAUACGGCCCCAUUUUGAGAUACUGGGGGUUCAGGCUUCAACAUAGGAAUUAGAGGGGACACAAGGCAACCCAUCACAAUCACCAAGCCUCAGUGUCCAUGGGGGUGAAAUAUACUCUGCUGCUGUUGGGCACCGCAGAGCCACGCGGCAGGAGAGAGUACAGAAUUGACAGCAACAAUCCACCUAUCAAAGUGAGGUGCUAUCUCCAUUUUUAUAGAUAAAGAAACGGGCCCAAAGACCAGCCCCAGGCCAUACCACAUAUCUAGGAAGCCGCAUCAAGGGGUGCCUUAACGCCAACGCCUCAGACAAAUCCAGGUCUCUUUGCUGCCCUGGAGCGUGGCUGCUCCACCUUUUUCUUGUUCUCAACCCCCAGGCUCUGGACCUGUCUCUGUCCUCAGGACCAUGCACGUGGAAAUUCUGCUGCCGGAGCUGCCAGCCCAUAACUUUUGGGAUAAACUCUCCCAUCAGGACUGUCAUCUCAGGGAGCCUGUUCUGGUGACUUCUGGAAAGGCCUGGACUCCUUUGUUCCAUGGAGUCAUCAGGUAACUACGAAGAGUCCUCAGUUUGCUUUUCCCCAGCGCCUUGUCGAGCUUCCUUGGGUGUCCCAGGUCUUGCUGUGUUCAGUGCGGCUUGGGUCAUACUUGGUCUUCUUGGGCAAUGACAAAGGUGGCUUUUAGUUAGGGAAGGAAGACAGCCUCAGAAGGGAGAAGCCUAUCAGUAUUUCAAGCCCCAGGCGAUGUGAAAAACUGAGCCUUUGUUUGGGAGUGUCAGCCCCCAGGACUUGCGUGUUUCUGCCCUGAAGCGUUUUCUGCUUUCUGAAGGCUGCAGUUCUCUUCCUCGUUUUAUUGACUGCCUACGUGCCAGGGGCUUUGUGAAUAUUACCGCACUGAAAUUCCCAAUACCCAGCAAGAAGGCAUUAUUAUCCUUAUUUUACAGAUGAGAAAAUAGAGAUUAAACAACUUACUUAACUGUUUGAACUCCGUGGGGCACAAACAUGAAAUGAUUCUAUUUUUUCUCCAGAUCUUUUUAGAGAUUUAUACCAAAUCUCCUUUUCAUAAUUCCAUAGCUUUUUGGUUGUUUUUAGGUAUUAAAAAACCCCUAUGGUCCAGUCCACUUUCUUUUCAAAGCCUCAAAUCUUGAAUCCGAUAUCAUAUCC